UAGCUUGGGAAUCUGGCUUAUGGAGGGGGAUAACUACGGGAAACUGUAGCUAAUACCGCGUAGUAUCGAGAGAUGAAAGUGCGGGACCGCAAGGCCGCAUGCCAUGAGAUGAGCCCAAGUGGGAUUAGGUAGUUGGUGGGGUAAAGGCCUACCAAGCCUGCGAUCUCUAGCUGGUCUGAGAGGAUGGCCAGCCACACUGGAACUGAGACACGGUCCAG
rnacentral:rRNA from 1 species